GGAGUCCAACGUGUGCGCGAGUCGUUGGGCGUUGAAACCCAAUGGCGCAAUCAAGGUGAAGGAGGGGAUCCCUUCCGAGGGAGGAGGGCGGUCCGUCUCGGCGGGCCGGCCGCACUCCCGGGGCGUCUCCGGCUCAUCGCGAGCGGAGGCGCACCCAGAGCGUUCACGUUGGGACCCGAAAGAUGGUGAACUAUGCCUGGCCAGGACGAAGCCAGGGGAAACCCUGGUGGAGGUCCGUAGCGGUUCUGACGUGCAAAUCGAUCGUCGGAGCUGGGUAUAGGGGCGAAAGACUAAUCGAACCAUCUAGUAGCUGGUUCCCUCCGAAGUUUCCCUCAGGAUAGCUGGCGCCCAGGUGAGACGAGUCUCAUCCGGUAAAGCGAAUGAUUAGAGGCCUUGGGGUCGAAACGACCUCAACCUAUUCUCAAACUUUAAAUGGAUGAGAACCCCGGCUUGCUUGAUCGAGUGAAGCCGGGGCUCGGAUCCGAGUGCCAAGUGGGCCAAUUUUG
rnacentral:rRNA from 1 species